CACACAUACAUACAAGCAGCUCUGUGUUGCUGGAGACGCUGCAAUUCACGUGCAGACUGCCCCUCCCCCAAGAUCAGAGUGCUGAAAGCCUGCUCUUCAAGACAACAGUAAACUUUAAACUUUCAAAGCAUCUUUUAACUGUUUGACUUAGCUGAAAUAUUGCCAUACACUUUGAAGGUGGAAGCAAGUUUGUGGGUCCAAAUGGAAAACACGAAUGAUAGAUAG